rnacentral:rRNA from 1 species
UACGUAGGUGGCAAGCGUUGUCCGGAUUUACUGGGCGUAAAGGAUGCGUAGGCGGAUGUUUAAGUGAGAUGUGAAAUACCCGAGCUCAACUUGGGUGCUGCAUUUCAAACUGGAUAUCUAGAGUGCAGGAGAGGAAAGCGGAAUUCCUAGUGUAGCGGUGAAAUGCGUAGAGAUUAGGAAGAGCACCAGUGGCGAAGGCGGCUUUCUGGACUGUAACUGACGCUGAGGCAUGAAAGCCAGGGGAGCAAACGGG